CGUGUAGGCGGUUUGUACAGUCAGAUGUGAAAUCCCCGGGCUUAACCUGGGAGCUGCAUUUGAUACUGGAAGUCUGGAGUCCGAGAGAGGUGAGUGGAACUCCGAGUGUAGAGGUGAAAUUCGUAGAUAUUCGGAAGAACACCAGUGGCGAAGGCGGCUCACUGGCUCGUAACUGACGCUGAGGUGCGAAAGCGUGGGGAGCAAACA
rnacentral:rRNA from 1 species